CGAACGGGUGAGUAACGCGUGAGUAACCUGCCUUACACAAGGGGAUAGCCUUUGGAAACGAAGAAUAAUACCCUAUAAAACUAUAAAAGCACAUGCUAGAAUGGUCAAAGUGCUAGCGGUGUAAGAUGGACUUGCGUCUGAUUAGCUAGUUGGUGAGAUAAAAGCUCACCAAGGCAACGAUCAGUAGCCGGCUUGAGAGAGUGUACGGCCACAUUGGGACUUAGACACGGCCCAG
rnacentral:rRNA from 1 species